UACGUAGGGGGCAAGUGUUGUCCGGAAUUAUUGGGCGUAAAGCGCGCGCAGGCGGCUUUGUAAGUUUGGUGUUUAAUCUCAGAGCUCAACUCUGAUUCGCAUCGAAAACUGCAAGGCUUGAGUACAGAAGAGGAAAGUGGAAUUCCACGUGUAGCGGUGAAAUGCGUAGAGAUGUGGAGGAACACCAGUGGCGAAGGCGACUUUCUGGGCUGUAACUGACGCUGAGGCGCGAAAGCGUGGGGAGCAGACAGG
rnacentral:rRNA from 1 species